rnacentral:rRNA from 1 species
UACGGAGGGUGCGAAGCGUUAUCCGGAUUACUGGGUUUAAAGGGUGCGUAGGUGGGAUAGUAAGUCAGUGGUGAAAUCUCCGUGCUUAACACGGAAACUGCCAUUGAUACUAUGUUUCUUGAAUUUUCUGGAGGUUAGCGGAAUAUGUCAUGUAGCGGUGAAAUGCUUAGAUAUGACAUAGAACACCGAUUGCGAAGGCAGCUAACUACAGGGAUAUUGACACUGAGGCACGAAAGCGUGGGGAUCAAACAGG